rnacentral:rRNA from 1 species
GGCAGGCCUAACACAUGCAAGUCGAACGCGACCUUCGGGUCGAGUGGCGCACGGGUGAGUAACGCGUGGGAAUCUGCCCUGUGGUACGGAAUAACAUCGGGAAACUGGUGCUAAUACCGUAUAUCCCCUGAGGGGGAAAGAUUUAUCGCCAUAGGAGGAGCCCGCGUAGGAUUAGCUAGUUGGCGGGGUAACGGCCCACCAAGGCGACGAUCCUUAGCUGGUCUGAGAGGAUGAUCAGCCACACUGGGACUGAGACACGGCCCAGACUCCUACGGGAGGCAGCAGUGGGGAAUAUUGGACAAUGGGGGAAACCCUGAUCCAGCCAUGCCGCGUGUGUGAUGAAGGCCUUCGGGUUGUAANNCACUUUCGCACGUGACGAUGAUGACGGUAACGUGAGAAGAA